GGGUUGUGAGGUUAAGCGACUAAGCGUACACGGUGGAUGCCCUGGCAGUCAGAGGCGAUGAAGGACGUGCUAAUCUGCGAUAAGCGCCGGUAAGGUGAUAUGAACCGUUAUAACCGGCGAUUUCCGAAUGGGGAAACCCAGUGUGAUUCGUCACACUAUCAUUAACUGAAUCCAUAGGUUAAUGAGGCGAACCGGGGGAACUGAAACAUCUAAGUACCCCGAGGAAAAGAAAUCAACCGAGAUUCCCCCAGUAGCGGCGAGCGAACGGGGAGGAGCCCAGAGCCUGAAUCAGCAUGUGUGUUAGUGGAAGCGUCUGGAAAGGCGCGCGAUACAGGGUGACAGCCCCGUACACAAAAGCGCAUGUGCUGUGAGCUCGAUGAGUAGGGCGGGACACGUGGUAUCCUGUCUGAAUAUGGGGGGACCAUCCUCCAAGGCUAAAUACUCCUGACUGACCGAUAGUGAACCAGUACCGUGAGGGAAAGGCGAAAAGAACCCCGGCGAGGGGAGUGAAAAAGAACCUGAAACCGUGUACGUACAAGCAGUGGGAGCACAGGUUUACCUGUGUGACUGCGUACCUUUUGUAUAAUGGGUCAGCGACUUAUAUUCUGUAGCAAG
rnacentral:rRNA from 3 species